AGUAUAAGUUUUCACGUAGUGGACAGCUCAAUCAUAGGUCUUAUAGUUAACGUAUCAAACGUAUUAUAAACUAAUUCAGCUUCAAAAUAAUGUUAAACAAAUGGAGUAAACGAGAUAUAUGUCAAGAAUGUAUUAAUACUUUAGACAUUCGCGUAUCACAUUUCAAAGUAAUUAGUUAUUACUGAAAGAUUCAGAAGUACUCGUCGGAAAGUGUAUCGUGUUCUUGCCACCUGACAAAGACGUACAAAACGAGUAGAAUGAUCUUAAUAUCUAUACAGAUAUAUGUAAAAAUGACAUAAUAAUGUCUUAUGUAUUCAACACGGUCGACAAAUCUGGUAUCGUUCCUUUAUUGAGGACAUGCAAUUCCAUCAAGUUUUUUUUUGGUUUGUCGGGUUUUUUUGGGUUUUUUAUUUGUUUUUUGUUUUUUUUUUGUGGGGGGGGUAUUUCCUACCUGGAUUUGUCUCCUUUUUUUCGAUAUACGAGAUUUGAACAUCAGUACCCUACCUUGAUCAUUGAUGUUCCGGGUAAAUGUCAUUUGAAUAAAUGAAGAUGGCAAGAAAACAUAAAAUUCCCUGCAAUUCUCUGUUGAUUAAUUUAGAAAUUAUCAAAUAUAAAGGUUUUAACUAGGCUUAGUUGACUACAGAUAAUUUUUUUCAAAUCAUUUUAUGUCACUUUUGGUCAUAUAGCUCCUAACGUUUUCAGAUAUUCAUUCAUCUGUAGACCAAUUAAUUGCUUUGGAGUGAUUGUGAGGGACGUUCAGACACCUGUAAUUCAUAUUUUUUCAAAACAAAAACAAGAAUAUGU
rnacentral:lncRNA from 1 species